UUAAAACAAAACAAAAGUGCAAAACAAAGCUGCUUAAAACAAAAUGAAGACUAUGCUGGGGCCUCCUGACCAUGAAUCUGGUUAAAUUGGUCUGAGAU